rnacentral:rRNA from 1 species
UAGAGUUUGAUCCUGGCUCAGAACGAACGCUGGCGGCAUGCCUCAUACAUGCAAGUCGAACGAGAUCCUUCGGGGUCUAGUGGCGCACGGGUGAGUAGCGCGUGGGAACCUGCCCUGUUGUGGGGGAUAACCGAUGGAAACGUCGGCUAAUACCGCAUGCGCCCGGCGAGAGAUCGCUGGGGAAAGAUUUAUCGCAGCAGGAUGGGCCCGCGUCGGAUUGGCUAGUUGGUGGGGUAACGGCCUACCAAGGCGAUGAUCCGUAGCUGGUCUGAGAGGAUGAUCAGCCUCACUGGGACUGAGACACGGCCCAGACUCCUACGGGAGGCAGCAGUAGGGAAUAUUGGACAAUGGGCGCAAGCCUGAUCCAGCAAUGCCGCGUGAGUGAGGAAGGCCUUAGGGUUGUAAAGCUCUUUCGCACGCGGCGAUGAUGACGGUAGCGUGAGAAGAAGCCCCGGCUAACUUCGUGCCAGCAGCCGCGGUAAUACGAAGGGGGCGAGCGUUGUUCGGAAUUACUGGGCGUAAAGGGCGCGUAGGCGGCUAUCUUUGUCAGGCGUGAUAGCCCUGGGCUCAACCUGGGAGGUGCGCUUGGGACGGGGUGGCUAGAGAUCGGGAGAGGAGAGCGGAAUUCCCAGUGUAGAGGUGAAAUUCGUAGAUAUUGGGAAGAACACCCGGUGGCGAAGGCGGCUCUCUGGACCGAUA